AGCAAAUUAAGUUGCAGUGGGCAAGGAAUGUUCAUCAGCAUGGAUCAAGCUGGCUGUUGUGGAUUAUAUUUAGGAAACUAAGGUCAUUCAGAGAUUGGCUGGUGACCUUGAGGGAAAAGGUGAACACGCCUUCCCGAGAGAUUCGACGGACACUAUGGUUCGCUGAUGUUCCAGAAUAUUAACUUUCAGCUACGACGCCACGGGCUGCCUUCAGGGACUGAAACCUGAGGAUGAAGAAAGCUUUCCUCCAAUUCAAUGAGGCAGAACCAUGAAAUCUGGUGGAAAACUGCAUUGUUCAUUGCAACAUCAACAAGCUCUGACAACUGCAACAGGCUUUCGUUGGCUCCGAGACAGCUCUCAGGCAUCUCUUCUGAUGCUCACCUUUCGAGAUUCAGUUGUUAUUGUUCAAUUUAACUUCUGUACAUUGAAUGGACUGUGGCCAACACGCCUGGGGCAUAAACACACCUGUAUGAAAGCAGCCUUAUUGUGGCAACCAUCUCGUCCAAACUGCAUACAUACUACCUAUUUCCAUACUAAGAAAGAAUGCUCCAUCCUCCCCUAUGGCAAAUCUUGCCUGAAGUGUACUUCAUAUUUCUGCUGACCUCUAAAGCCUUAUCCACAGUCAGAGCAUUUUUCCUUUUUUAUUUAUUAAGGCUAUAAGACUUAAAGAAUGGGGAUUAGAGGGGUAACCUUAUAUUUGGCUGUCUGUCAGUCACAAAACAAAAAUUCUCUCAGGAUCCAUAGAACAAAUCAGAAUGAAGAUUUCUUACUGGGAUUAGCUCCAUUAAGCCAGACCCAAAAAUGCUACCUUGACAUGUAUAUUGCUGAGGUGAAAUCAGCUCCUCGCCCUUUGCAUAUGUCACCAUCAUACAGCUUUCACUCUAGGUGCAGCACUAAACUGGCUUGUAAUUUACAGAGUGCAGAGUAAAUGUUUCUGUGAAAAGAUUUUUGGUAGGCCCCAGUGAACGCUUCUCUGUGUAGAUAAAUCUAAUGCAGUUAAGUUGCUUUACUAUUAAUCAUCUGUGAUGAUGAAUUCUAAACAUAAUCAAUAACUGACUUUUACACAGCCGUGUUAGAUUACUUGAUUGGAUUAGAGAUUAUAUUAAUGGAUUUAAUAAAUCCUGACCAUGUAGAGGGAUGAGUCUCAAUUCUUGUAUUAAAUACAGAGCAAUCUGGAGACAAUUAUAGUUUUACAAAAACAUUGUGCACAAUAGAAGCAACUAGAAAAUGGGUUAUUAAUGUGAACUUUUUUUAUAUUACAUAAAAGUAAACAAUAUCUAUUUUUCCAUCUUAUAGUUGGCUGCUCAGCCUACCUUACAAAUCCUUGAAAUCACUAGUUCAGGUCAAUAAACUGAAGUGCCCGACCUCCAACUACUCCUGCAAGUGUCAUUUGGAAUAAGAGCAGUGAAUCAGGAACAGAGUGGAGAAUAUCUCAAUUACGGAACUGAUUGACUCCACAGAGAGUUGUUGCUCUGUCAUUACAGUAGUAGACAGUGAGCAGCCUGCAUUGUGUAUUAGCAGAGUUUAACAUUAUUUGCAGUGGAACAACAUCAGGGCAAUUCUAUACAAGGGUGAAGUGAUAAUUAUUUAAUCAAUAUUGUGCAACAUCAUUUCUACAUUCAAAAGCCCCUACUCAGACUUAAUACAAUAUACCAAUUUCAUUUUGCCUUAGCUUCUAAACUAUUUACAUAAGAACAUAUCUGCAAAUAAUGAUCUUUAGCAACCAAAUUAAAAAGUGCAACUAUAGACUUCAUUGGAUUUAGACUUCACUUUAUUGUAUGAACACUGUGAAAUAUAUUUUAGGAUAAAUUGCAAAUGAAAUGCAAACACUGAACAAAGGAUCCGGAUCAGAGCUAAAUCUGUACCUAUUGGUAGAGCACUGGAUUAAAACAACAGCCCAGCUAGAUUUCUCCCAGAUCCCAAGGCAAAACCCACAAAGCCGAACUGUCAAAAAAACGCAAAUGAAAGAAGAUACUGGUUGCAGAGUGGUGUGUCAGGUUCAUCCCUCAGGCCACUGAAUCAAGUUUUUCUGAGUCAUAUGACAUUAAUAGUAGUGCUUUCUCUAUACUCAUAUUAAACCUCAAGUCUGUGUGUAUGAAAGCCACUCUCCUGCAACUACUUGUUUCAAUUUAUAAUGGAAUUAAGAGACCAGACAAAGUUCCACUUUAAAAUUUCUUUAAACUUUUUAUAUGCACUUAUAAAUCAAAUAUCACCAUUCUCUUGUGUGUUCUACGUCAAACCUAGUUUGACAAAAUCAGUAUUUUCUGACUCUUGUGCUAAAACUUGUGUUCAUCUUUUUUAAAAAGUCCACGUUAUUAGCCUGAAACAAUUUGUCCAAAUGCUUCAGACUCGGAGCAGAUGAAUAAAUGUGUCACUGUCUUCCUUGUAUCUUUAUGACUAAUGUGCAUUUUUCAAAUUAACAACUUCUCUGCUUGCUGAAGUCACAUAUAGAGGAUUUACAUAACACUGCAUAAUAUCAA